AACGCACAUUGCGCCCUUUGGUAUUCCUUAGGGCAUGCCUGUUCGAGCGUCAUAAAACCCCUCAAGCACCGCUUGGUGUUGGGCGUUUGUCCUGCCUCCGGCUGGGACUCGCCCCGAAUCCAUUGGCGGCCCCCGCAUUGGGCUAUCGAGCGCAGCAGAACCUUUGCGCCUCGGGCACAGCGCGUGGGCGACCAACGAGCAACCCCAACCAUUUUUGACCUCGGAUCAGGUAGGGAUACCCGCUGAACUUAA
rnacentral:misc_RNA from 1 species